rnacentral:misc_RNA from 1 species
GAAAAAUGGAAAAAUUCAGCUUAUUGCCAUCAUCUAACUAGUCUGCAUCUACAGUUUCAAGAUACAAAUCAUGAAAAAGCAGACAAUGUGCAGGAGAUAAUUCUCAUACUAUGCAAUGGCACCAAGUUAGUUUAAGAACACAUAAUUUGCGCUCUUAAAGGGGUGUCUGACUGUUCAAGGAAGUUGAAGACAUUGUGGAAAGCACAUCUGUCACAGAAGCCAUCACACUCAAGGCAGCUUUCAGAACUUCCUGUGAACACCCUGGUUUCACAAUAGUUCGUACCUUGUCAAGGUAUUCCUGCAGUUCCUUUAUCCGGCCCAUGUAAUCCUGGUCUUCAACACAGAGCGUUAAUGGUUUGGCAUCAGCACCAGGACCUUCAAAUUGAAGGGGCCCUGGAUUUCGGUAUAGAUCAUCCAUUAAAAAUUUUACCGCAUUUUGUCUGAGCAGCUCAUAUGCUUUGCCUUUCAAAUCCACUGUAGCUGGAUGUAUAGCAGGUUUUCCAAUUGAAGUGGCACCUGGACUUUGAGCCCAUCGCUUCACCGUCAUCAUUGCUGUAAUUGGAGCAGCACCACAACGCCACUUGUUCACGGGAUUCUUGAGGUUUGUUACAGUUCCCAUAUAACCAUUCAAACCGGCUGCUAGAAUAUGGUAGCAGAUGUGCCCAAGCACAUAGGCAUAAUCACAGUCAAAUUUUGAUGGCACAGAACCCCGGGCCUGAUAACCAAAAAAGUGGCAGAUAGCAUUGAAUUUUUUCCCCUUGUAUGUGCCUUCUUUCAGCCGCUUGCUCAUUUCUGCCUCGACAAGAUGCGCUAGAAGUUUCUCCGUCUCAAUCUUGGAGGGAAAAAGGAGCAGAAAAUAUGUCAAUGAUCCAUAAGUUAGAACUUUCUUUCAUAGGAAGAUGAUGCUAGUUAC